UACGAAGGGGGGCUAGCGUUGUUCGGAAUUACUGGGCGUAAAGCGCACGUAGGCGGAUAUUUAAGUCAGGGGUGAAAUCCCAGAGCUCAACUCUGGAACUGCCUUUGAUACUGGGUAUCUUGAGUAUGGAAGAGGUAAGUGGAAUUGCGAGUGUAGAGGUGAAAUUCGUAGAUAUUCGCAGGAACACCAGUGGCGAAGGCGGCUUUCUGGACGACAACUGACGCUGAGACGCGAAAAGCGUGGGGGAGCAAACAGGG
rnacentral:rRNA from 1 species